rnacentral:rRNA from 1 species
GGCGAACGGGUGAGUAACACGUGGGUAAUCUGCCCUCGGCAUCGGGAUAGCCCGGGGAAACCCGGAUUAAUACCGAAUAGACUCCGCGGCUUCGGGCCUCGGAGAAAAGGGUGGCUUCGGCUUCCGGCUGAGGAUGAGCCCGCGGCGGAUUAGCUUGUUGGUGGGGCAACGGCCUACCAAGGCGACGAUCCGUAGCUGGUCUGAGAGGACGAUCAGCCACACUGGGACUGAGCACACGGUCAAGACUCAUACGGGAGGCAGCAGUGGGGAAUCUUGCGCAAUGGGCGAAGGCCUGACGCAGCGACGCCGCGUGCGGGAAGAAGGCCUUCGGGUUGUAAACCGCUUUCAGGAGGGACGAAGCUACUCGGGUUAACAGCCCAGAGGGUGACGGUACCUCCAGAAGAAGCCCCGGCUAACUACGUGCCAGCCGCCGCGG